GCAGCAGGCGCGAAACCUUUACACUGCACGACAGUGCGAUAAGGGAACUCCGAGUGCGAGGGCAUAGAGCCCUCGCUUUUGUACACCGUAAGGUGGUGCACGAAUAAGGGCUGGGCAAGACCGGUGCCAGCCGCCGCGGUAAUACCGGCAGCCCAAGUGAUGGCCGAUAUUAUUGGGCCUAAAGCGUCCGUAGCUGGCCGGACAAGUCCGUUGGGAAAUCCGCGCGCUCAACGCGCGGGCGUCCAGCGGAAACUGUCCGGCUUGGGGCCGGAAGACCUGAGGGGUACGUCCGGGGUAGGAGUGAAAUCCUGUAAUCUCGGACGGACCGCCUGUGGCGAAAGCGCCUCAGGAAGACGGACCCGACAGUGAGGGACGAAAGCCAGGGUCUCGAACCGGAUUAGAUACCCGGGUAGUCCUGGCUGUAAACGAUGUCCGCUAGGUGUGACGCAGGCUACGGGCCUGCGCUGUGCCGUAGGGAAGCCGUGAAGCGGACCGCCUGGGAAGUACGUCUGCAAGGAUGAAACUUGAAGGAAUUGGCGGGGGAGCACUACAACC
rnacentral:rRNA from 1 species